rnacentral:rRNA from 1 species
ACGGGUAGACCGGCCUGAGAGGGCGACCGGCCACACUGGGACUGAGACACGGCCCAGACUCCUACGGGAGGCAGCAGUGGGGAAUAUUGCACAAUGGGCGGAAGCCUGAUGCAGCGACGCCGCGUGAGGGAUGACGGCCUUCGGGUUGUAAACCUCUUUCAGCAGGGACGAAGCGUAAGUGACGGUACCUGCAGAAGAAGCGCCGGCCAACUACGUGCCAGCAGCCGCGGUAAGACGUAGGGCGCGAGCGUUGUCCGGAUUUAUUGGGCGUAAAGAGCUCGUAGGCGGCUUGUCGCGUCGACUGUGAAAACCCGCAGCUCAACUGCGGGCCUGCAGUCGAUACGGGCAGGCUAGAGUUCGGUAGGGGAGACUGGAAUUCCUGGUGUAGCGGUGAAAUGCGCAGAUAUCAGGAGGAACACCGGUGGCGAAGGCGGGUCUCUGGGCCGAUACUGACGCUGAGGAGCGAAAGCGUGGGGAGCGAACAGGAUUAGAUACCCUGGUAGUCCACGCUGUAAACGUUGGGCGCUAGGUGUGGGGGGCCUCUCCGGUUCCCUGUGCCGCAGCUAACGCAUUAAGCGCCCCGCCUGGGGAGUACGG